GCGUGGGUGGCUCAGUCGGUGGAGCGCCUGACUUCAGUUCAGGUCAUGAUCUCAUGGUCGGUGGGUUCGAGCCCCACGUUGGGCU
rnacentral:tRNA from 1 species